UAGGGAAUAUUAGAAAUGGACGAAAGUCUGAUCUAGCAACACCGCGUGUGCGAAGAAGGCCUUAGGGUUGUAAAGCACUUUUUGGAAGGAUUAGGAAGGAAUGUACUUCCAGAAUAAGUCUCGGCUAACUACGUGCCAGCAGCCGCGGUAACACGUAGGAGGCAAACGUUAUCCGGAUUUACUGGGCGUAAAGCGCGUGUAGGUGGUUCUGUAAGUAGGGCGUGAAAGCUCCUGGCUCAACUGGGAGAGGCCGUUCUAAACUGCAGAGCUAGAGGAUGGUAGAGGGAGUUGGAAUUCCUGGUGUAGCAGUGGAAUGCGCAGAUAUCCGGAGGAACACCAGUGGCGAAAGCGGCCUCCUGGACCAUUCCUGACACUCAGACGCGAAAGCUAGGGUAGCAAACG
rnacentral:rRNA from 1 species